AUGUUGACUGGUGAUGUGACGUGAUUGAUUUACUUUGAGCACAUACUUAGCAUACCGAGCAAACCCAAGGACCUAAGGUACUUAUGGAGCUUGCACUGGAGAAGCGGGUCGUUGUGGGCAAGGAUCGUGGUUUCUACGUUGAACUAUUAUGACAUUUAAAACUAUUAACUAGUGUUGGAUUAUUUACUAUGCUUCCGCUACACUUUGAAACUAUGGUUAUGUUUGAAACACCUAUCGUAUUGGAUGUAUGGUUUACAUUUAUUUUACUUGAUAUUAAUUACAUGUUCAAUAUGAUUGGUGGCUUG
rnacentral:lncRNA from 1 species